rnacentral:rRNA from 1 species
UACGAAGGGGGCUAGCGUUGCUCGGAAUUACUGGGCGUAAAGGGCGCGUAGGCGGAUACUUAAGUUAGAGGUGAAAGCCCAGGGCUCAACCCUGGAAUAGCCUUUAAUACUGGGUAUCUUGAGUUCGGGAGAGGUGAGUGGAACUCCGAGUGUAGAGGUGAAAUUUCGUAGAUAUUCGGAAGAACACCAGUGGCGAAGGCGACUCACUGGCCCGAUACUGACGCUGAG